CAAUAGCGUAUAUUAAAGUUGCUGCUGUCAAAAAGCUCGCAGUUGGAUUUCUGCCGAGGACGUCCGGUCCGCCCUCUGGGUGUGUACAUGGCGCGGCCUGGGCAUCUUCUUGGGGUACGACGUAUCUGCACUUGACUGCGUGGUGUGGAAUCCAGAACUUUUACAUUGAGGAAAUUAAAGUGUUUCCAGCAGGCACGCGCAUUGAAUACAUUAGCAUGGAAUCAUAAGAUAGGACCUCGGUUCUAUUUUGUUGGUUUCUAGAGAUGAGGUAAUGAUUGAUAUGGAUAAAUGGGAGCAUUCGUAUUUAACUAUCAGAAAUGAAAUUCUCGCAUUUGUUAAAGACGGACUACUGCGAAAGCAUUUGCCAAAGAUGUUGUUAUGAA
rnacentral:rRNA from 1 species